AGAGUUUGAUUAUGGCUCAGAUUGAACGCUGGCGGCGUGCCUAACACAUGCAAGUCGAACGAGAACGGGUAUUAGUUUACUAAUACUGAGCUAAGUGGCGCACGGGUGAGUAAUGUAUAGAAACCUGCCCUUAAGAAAGGAACCCGGAGAAAUCCGGAUUAAUACCGCAUAUACCCUACGGGGGAAAGAGGGCCUCUCCUUGGAAGCUCUUGCUGUUGGAUGAGCCUGCGUCGGAUUAGCUAGUUGGUAGGGUAAAGGCCUACCAAGGCGACGAUGCCUAACUGGUUUGAGAGGAUGAUCAGUAACACUGGAACUGAGACACGGUCCAGACUCCUACGGGAGGCAGCAGUGGGGAAUAUUGCACAAUGGGCGCAAGCCUGAUGCAGCCAUACCGUGUGUGUGAAGAAGGCUCUAGGGUCGCAAAGCACUUUAAGUUGGGAGGAAAGGUUAAAGUUUAAUACGCUUUAGCUGUGACGUUACCAACAGAAUAAGCACCGGCUAACUCCGUGCCAGCAGCCGCGGUAAUACGGAGGGUGCAAGCGUUAAUCGGAAUUACUGGGCGUAAAGCGCGCGUAGGUGGUUAGGUAAGUUGGAUGUGAAAGCCCCGGGCUUAACCUGGGAACUGCAUUCAAAACUGCCUAGCUAGAGUACGAUAGAGGGGGGUAGAAUUUCAGGUGUAGCGGUGAAAUGCGUAGAGAUCUGAAGGAAUACCAGUGGCGAAGGCGGCCCCCUGGAUUGAUACUGACACUGAGGUGCGAAAGCGUGGGUAGCAAACAGGAUUAGAUACCCUGGUAGUCCAUGCCGUAAACGAUGUCAACUAGCCGUUGGGGGGCUUGUCCCCUUAGUGGCGCAGCUAACGCGAUAAGUUGACCGCCUGGGGAGUACGGCCGCAAGGUUAAAACUCAAAUGAAUUGACGGGGGCCCGCACAAGCGGUGGAGCAUGUGGUUUAAUUCGACGCAACGCGAAGAACCUUACCUACUCUUGACAUCCUCAGAACUUUUUCCAGAUGGAUUGGUGCCUUCGGGAACUGAGUGACAGGUGCUGCAUGGCUGUCGUCAGCUCGUCUCGUGAGAUGUUGGGUUAAGUCCCGUAACGAGCGCAACCCUUGUCUUUAUUUGCCAGCACGUAAUGGUGGGAACUUUAAGGAGACUGCCGGUGACAAACCGGAGGAAGGUGGGGACGACGUCAAGUCAUCAUGGCCCUUACGAGUUGGGCUACAUACGUGCUACAAUGGCCGGUACAGAGGGCUGCAAUCUCGCGAGAGGGAGCUAAUCUCACAAAACCGGUCGUCGUCCGGAUCUGGGUCUGCAACUCGACUCCGUGAAGUUGGAAUCUCUAGUAAUCGUGGAUCAGAAUGCCACGGUGAAUACGUUCCCGGGCCUUGUACAACCCCCGUC
rnacentral:rRNA from 1 species